CAGUAAAAUUUCGAAAAGACAAAUUGACAUCGUUGGAAGUAAUUUCAAAAUGGCUGCUUAUUCCAUUACGUGAAGGAGAAGGAAAACUCAAAAACUAGAAGAGUAUGUCCGUACACCGUCCGUACCAGUGUCACCUGCCUAGAAUAACAAAGCCUACAAUUUAUACUCGGCAAUUCCAUCUGAUCAUGUGGCCUGAAUGCUGAAACUGUUGUUUACCAAAAUGUCGUCUCUUGCUGCACGUACCGGCUAUGCGUUUAUUCCCAUGUAGAAAUUCUUCACAAUAGUAAAACAUGGUGAAAUCUGAACUUCUCCAUUGCAGUCCAAUGAGCUGUGCAGUGCGAUUUGAUGCAUUGCAGGCUUGCUACCUGUACCGUUUGUGGCUUUCAUCACAUGCAGAAGCACUUCCAAACAAUUUAAAUAGAAUUAACAGCCUCUUGAGGUCUGAUCCUCAGUGAACGGUGUGGUGAGCUGUAGCAUGCAGACUGGUGCUGGUGUCGUUCGUUCAUUUAACUAUGGACCGUUCAGUCGUUCGUUUAUCGUAAGAAAUCUGUCACUUGUCGUAGAUUUCCAUGGUCAGUUUUAUGUUUGAGCUGUUUGUGUUUGAGCUGUUUAUGGUUUUGCUGUAUGGGGUACAGUGGUUUUGCAGUCCUUUUCCAGUUGAGAGAUGCGCUGAAAUGGAGCUUGUGCAGACUAGUAGUUGAACAUCAUACUUAAAUGUGUCAUUUGCCUAUGUUGGUGUCCAUGCAGUAUAUGCAGUGUUGUGCAAAAUAGUCGAUGUUGCCUGAUGGCUGUCGGGCUUAUUUUAUCGACAGCAUUUUGUCAAUAUGUCGUGUCUUGCAACCUGUAUCGCCGUUGAGUUGAUUCGUUUGCCGCCGUUCCUUAGACUUGAUCCACCGGUGAAACUAAGAAGACGUUGCUGAAAUUCAAGAUUGAUCAAUAAAUUAUGUAGAUAAAUUGCAAGUGCAUAAUCUGGGCUCCCUUCUUCAGUGGCCCCGUUUCCCUAAAUAACCACUAACCAACGCCCGCCGGUGGUCACUCACUCGCUGCGACAACCAGGAAGAAGGGAGAUGUCUGGUCGAACGGGGACGUGCAAGGCGCAUGAUUCGAUGAAAUCUGUUGGAGGGUCAAGAUUCUAAGUCGGAAGCCUACUAUGAUGCAUUGCUCUCUUAAAAACUGUUCCUCGGCUCUCUUAAAAACCGUUCCUCGGCUCUCUUCGCUCUUUUUCCGAUUUCUCUUAACCAUGGCCGGGUAAUCUCCCUGGUCGAGUCAGUCAGGCAGUGUCUUCCCUUGCUUGACUGGCUACAGUUUGAACCGGACGGUCUGUUAAAAUAAGAAUUUAAAUCUAGAACAACGCCUCCUUUGAGCAGGCGGAAAAGGACAAUCCUGAAUCCUUUAGGAUUGCCAUUCCAUCGAGGCUUAAACGAGGAUGACGCGGAGGUGUUGUCCAUUGAGGGGUUUUGGUGACAAGGAGUCACUAAACGAAACGCUAAACCAAAUGAAAAAAAAAAUAUAUUAAAAAAGCCAACGAUCCUUUGGAUAUCCGAGCCGAGUCCAUUCUGUCUACAUUCGGUGUGAAGAGCAAAACCCAAAUUUCAACACAUUUAACUGCUUAGCAACGAAAACAAAGCGAGUGUCAAAACAUUGUUUAACUUGCACAUACUUUAUUGUGGCAGAAACGCGUUGGUCAUGUAACAGGGUGAAUUUUUUCCCCUUUUGUUCAUGCAGCAUCAAACGACACGCGAUAGGUUCCGGCGGUCAUCAUUUCAUCAACUAUUCAAGAUGGUAGAUCUGUCAAUGUAAAAGACAGGAUUUUCAUUUCCGACCGCAGGUGCAAGGAUUAUGUGUUUGAAACUUAGAUAAGUUUGCAGUAGAAUAUUAAAAAAAAAAGCCGAAUGUCCUUCAAACGGUUCGAAAUGGAAGAUUUAUUCAUUCACCGAAGAAACUAGUCAAAUGACUCAAAUGUCAAAUGUGACCCAUCCCCGGCAACGUCAACCUGCAGAAAGAAAAAGGUCAUUUUCUAUGGCCUUGACGCUCGAAGUUCACGGAGAUCAUAACGUAAAACGUGUCAUGCAGUGGUGUAGAGGUUGGGUGAGAACGACACGUGUUGCUUCAUUAUCAAAAAGGUCCAAUAGCCGCAAGGCUUAGGAGGUGAGGGUGAGGAAAAAAUCGGAUAAAAGGAGAGAGAAAAGGCGAUUGAAACCAGUCGAGUGAGCAUCUCCGACCCGGCAACAACUCCAUUCUUCGGACAUUCUUCGUCGUAAUAUCAGUUCGCAAUCAUGGUUAAUUAUGGCGUUGUGUUGCUGUCGGGCGUUGUAUCGUUGAUGUCGACUACGAGAGAAAUUUGUAUAAAAGGAAAGAGAAAAGUCGACAGAAGUCAAUCAAGUGAGCAUCUCCGACCCGUCAACAACUGCAUUCUUCGUCGUAUUAAUAGGUCGCAGUCACAAUCACGGCAUAACUAUGGCGUCGUGCAGCUAUUGGUUGUUUCGUCGAUUUCUGGGUUGACCACUGGUGUGCUGAUGCCGCUGGGUAUGGCGGAUACCAAACCGCAACGCCGCCGCCUUACUACACAACAACAUACGCAACGACUAGUUACUACACCGAGGUUGCACAGUUAGGUUUACAGUUACACCACCAAGGGUCCACCACAACUUAUGCUGCUCCGAGCUAUUACACCGAAGACCAGAAGUUUUAUUCUUCCCCGAGCUACACUACCAAAUCGCAUGUGCACACCUCCGAGGCUCCUAAGUACUACACCACCAAGGCACCUGAGUCUACACAACUACCUAUACUGUCCCAAGUACUACACCAAGGCUCCAAAGUACUACAGCACUAAGGCACCGGACUACUACACGACUAUAUAUGCUGCCCCCACCUGCGACACCGAGGCUCCAGCUUUAUUACCUUACCAAAGCGGUCGAACACAGUGGCGCCCAAGUACGAUGGAAAUCAGUCCAGUGAGCAUCUCCGCCGCCCUACAAGGCAGCCCCGAAGUUUCGAAUAAACUUAGUUUCAAAUAGUGGAACGGCAAAGAGCGAGGUCUCUUUUUCGAACAAGACGAAUUCUAUUGCAAUCCCUUUAAGAUAGCGGCGGCGUUGCAGUCGUACGUUGACAACGCGUCGUUAAACUUGACAUUGUUGGUCGGAAAGCCUAACUUCAUGAUGGCCGUACCAUCACCUACGACAAGUGCCUUAUUGCCACAGGUGGUAAACGAAAAUCUUUGCCAAACCCCUGAGCGGUGCCCCUAAAGAUGUCCACGAGCAAGUGACGCAACAUCUAUGGCCCAGUCCUCCCUAACUAUUUGAGCCAAUGGACUUUCGAGAAGGUGGAAGCGGAAGACGUUUAUGUGUUGCCCAAAGCAAAUGUUGAGGAUGUAAGUCUGGAAGACAACAAGGUCGCAUUGACCUUAAACGAUGGUCAAAAGCAAAUUUAAACUGACCAUGUCGUCGCUGCUGUCGGUUUGAACGUAAACACGGAUUUGGCUGUCGCUUUUGGAUUGAAAUAGAUUCCAAUUUUGGUGGUUAUCGAGUCAAUGCUGAGCUUGAAGCACGACCAAACGUCCGGUUGUUUAUUUUUUAUUAGACUGGAGAUGCUGCCUUGUUUUGUGAUCAAGAUUGUGAGCAAAUUGGUUCGUCAUCGUAUUAAACAUCACCACCAUGCUGUUGUAUUAGGGCGAUUGGCUGGAGAGAAGAAUACUGGCAACGAAACACGGAUGAACAACUGCAGUGCACUGUCACCAAGUGCAUUCUUCGUCGUAUUAUUAGUACGCAAUCGUUGAUUGUGAUGUCGUGAUGUUGCUGUUUGCCGUGUCGUUGAAGGCUGGGUCGAUCACUGGUGUACAGAUGUCUCCUGGGUAUGGCGGAUACCAAAUUACCACGCCGCCGCCUUACUAAACAACGACAACAUUCGCAAGAACCGGUUACUACACUGAGGCACACCAUUACUACACCACCAAGGCUCCAGAGUAUUACACCGCAGCUAAUGCUGCCCCGAGUUACAUCAUCAAACGUACUACACCGAGGCUCCCAAGUACUACACCACCAAGUCACCGGAGUACUACACGUAUGUUACCCAGCUUGCUACACCGAGGCUCCCAAGUAUUACCUAGUUCCUAGCUACUACACCGAGGCUCCAACUUAUUACACCACUAAAGCGGCUGAACACUACACCGAGCCACCCAAGUACUAACCAACGAGGCUCCAGAGUAUUACACCACAACUUGUGCUUCCCCGAGCCACUACACCGAAGCCCCGAAGUAUUACUCUGCCCCAAGCUACACAACUACAACUGAGGCGGCCAAGUAUUACGCAGCCCCGACUAACUACACAGCGGCUGCUCCUGCGUACUACGUUGAACCGGAAUACUACACCGAGGUUCCAGUUUACUACACCACAACCUACGCUACACCUAGCUACACCUAGCUACUACACCGAGGCCCCUAUGUACUACACUACCAAGGCACCUGAGUAUUAUAACACUACUUCCGCUGCUCCGACCAACUACACCGAAGCUCCGAAGUAUUACUCUAUCCCGAGUUACUACACCACAAGGCACCUGAAUAUUACACCACACCCUACGCUUCUCCCACUUAUUACAGGGACGUUUCUAAAUACUAGAGUCGAAUUUUCAAUUUUAAUAAUGUUCAGAUUUGUCGGUCAUAUCUUAAUAAUUACUAGUCACUGGGAAUUGUUGAUCUUUGAAGAGGAAUAGUUUUUUUUUAACCUGGGUUAUCAUUUUGUACGACUUAUCUUGCCACCUAAAAGCCUUUGACAUUGCGACGUUUUUUUAUUUUUAUUGAAUCUUUCCUAUUUCGCAUGUUGGAGAUGACUAUUGCUCUAGUCGCUUUGCAUUCCGACAUGUUCUAGUGUUUGGACGAACUUCAUUUACAGGGCAAGUUACGAAAGAAACGUACUGUGGUGUUUACUAAAGAAAUUUGAUGUUAACAGCUGGCGUAACAAAGGAGUUGCAGAUAGUGUUUGGUUUUUCAUAGAAGUUUAUUUGAAGGGUCUGGAGUUGAUCAGUCACUUGCCUAUAACUUAUGUAAAACUUCAAAGUUAUAAAAAAUAUACAAGUCUUGAACUAAA